UACGAAGGGGACUAGCGUUGUUCGGAAUUACUGGGCGUAAAGCGCACGUAGGCGGAUUUGUUAGUCAGGGGUGAAAUCCCGGGGCUCAACCUCGGAACUGCCUUUGAUACUGCAAAUCUCGAGUCCGGUAGAGGAGUGUGGAAUUCCCGGUGUAGCGGUGAAAUGCGCAGAUAUCGGGAGGAACACCCGUAGCGAAGGCGGCGCUCUGGGCCGGAACUGACGCUGAGGAGCGAAAGCGUGGGGAGCAAACAGG
rnacentral:rRNA from 1 species